rnacentral:rRNA from 1 species
AGCAGCCGCCGCGGUAAUACGUAGGGUGCGAGCGUUAAUCGGAAUUACUGGGCGUAAAGCGUGCGCAGGCGGUUCGUUAAGACAGAUGUGAAAUCCCCGGGCUUAACCUGGGAACUGCAUUUGUGACUGGCGAGCUAGAGUAUGGCAGAGGGGGGUAGAAUUCCACGUGUAGCAGUGAAAUGCGUAGAGAUGUGGAGGAAUACCGAUGGCGAAGGCAGCCCCCUGGGCCAAUACUGACACUCAUGCACGAAAGCGUGGGGAGCAAACAGGAUUAGAUACCCGGGUAGUCCCUGUCUCUUAUAA